rnacentral:rRNA from 1 species
GUAAUACCGGAUAUAGUGGCUCCCUGCAUAGGGGGUUUACGAAAGAUUUAUCGGCAUGGGAUGAGCUUGCGUCCGAUUAGCUAGUUGGCGGGGCAACGGCCCACCAAGGCGACGAUCGGUAGCCGGCCUGAGAGGGUGAUCGGCCACAUUGGGACUGAGAUACGGCCCAGACUCCUACGGGAGGCAGCAGUAGGGAAUAUUGCACAAUGGGGGAAACCCUGAUGCAGCAACGCCACGUGUGGGAAGAAGCAUUUCGGUGUGUAAACCACUGUCGUGAGGGAAUAAGGCGUCUUCUCGGAGGCGUUGAAUGUACCUCGAAAGGAAGCACCGGCAAACUUCGUGCCAGCAGCCGCGGUAAUACGAGGGGUGCAAGCGUUGUUCGGAAUCACUGGGCGUAAAGGGAGCGUAGGCAGAGAUGCAAGCGGACUGUACAAUACCGGGGCCCAAUCCCGGGCCUGCAGUUCGGACUGCACCUCUUGGAUAAUUCAGGGGCAGGCGGAAUUCCUGGUGUAGCGGUGGAAUGCGUAGAGAUCAGGAAGAACACCGAUGGCGAAGGCAGCCUGCUGGGGACUCAUCGACGCUGAGGCUCGAAAGUGCGGGUAGCAAACAGGAUUAGAUACCCUGGUAGUCCGCACCGUAAACGAUGCAUACUGGGUGUCCGGGGUUCGCCCCGGGUACCGCAGCAAACGCGUUAAGUAUGCCGCCUGGGGAGUACGUACGCAAGUAUGAAACUCAAAGGAAUUGACGGGGG